AGCCUCCACAUCCCCGUGCCCAGCCCCACCCGUCUACUCAAUCUAGACCAGGAGACGGCAUCAGGCACACACAUGUUUGCCCAUGACGCCUAGCUUUGCCACACCCCCACGGAUCUCAGCAGUGACAAACAUUAAGCAAUGGGCCCACACAUAAGCCCGACUUAGCCAUGGUUUAACACAGGGCCGGUAAACUUCGUGCCAGCCACCGCGGUUAUACGAAGGGCCCAAAACAACACCAACGGCAUAAAAUGUGACUAGAACCUAACCUGAAAGAAAUUCUUAACCACAAUAUAGCUGUAAAAUGCAUAUAUUUACUGGAAAACCAGCGAUUUUCUACGCCGCUUUGACCUCACGAAAACUGAGCCAUAAACUAGGAUUAGAUACCCUACUAUACUCAGUUGUAAACCAAGAGAGUUUAACUAUACCACCCUCUGCCCGAGAAUUACAAGUGAAAAACUUGAAACUCUAAGGACUUGACGGUGCCCCAUACCAACCUAGAGGAGCCUGUCCUAUAAUCGAUACUCCACGCUAUACCCGACCCCCCCUCGCCCCACAGCCUAUAUACCGCCGUCGCCAGCCCACCUACUGAUAGCACCAAUAGUCGGCACAACAGCACCCCACACAAGCACGUCAGGUCAAGGUGUAGCUUAUGGGGGGGGCUGAGAUGGGCUACAUUUGCUACUCAACAGCAAAUAACCAAGACCACAUGAAACCGUCGGCCAACAGGCGGAUUUAGCAGUAAACAGGGCAAGGCCUGCCCGCUUGAACCCCGCUCUGGGGCGCGUACACACCGGCCGUCACCCUCCUCAACACACCCCAUCAACC
rnacentral:rRNA from 1 species